AGUGAACGCUGGCGGUAGGCCUAACACAUGCAAGUCGAACGGCAGCACAGUAAGAGCUUGCUCUUACGGGUGGCGAGUGGCGGACGGGUGAGGAAUACAUCGGAAUCUACUUUUUCGUGGGGGAUAACGUAGGGAAACUUACGCUAAUACCGCAUACGACCUACGGGUGAAAGCAGGGGAUCUUCGGACCUUGCGCGAUUGAAUGAGCUGAUGUCGGAUUAGCUAGUUGGCGGGGUAAAGGCCCACCAAGGCGACGAUCCGUAGCUGGUCUGAGAGGAUGAUCAGCCACACUGGAACUGAGACACGGUCCAGACUCCUACGGGAGGCAGCAGUGGGGAAUAUUGGACAAUGGGCGCAAGCCUGAUCCAGCCAUACCGCGUGAGUGAAGAAGGCCUUCGGGUUGUAAAGCCCUGUUGUUGGGAAAGAAAAGCAGCAGGUUAAUACCCCGCUGUUCUGACGGUACCCAAAGAAUAAGCACCGGCUAACUUCGUG
rnacentral:rRNA from 1 species